CUCAAAUAGCACCUCUGUGUCGAGGAGCCACAGGAGACAAACCUGGAUCGGGAGCAUGAAACCAGGUUCUAGAAGACCACGGAUGUCACACACUAUGGCUGUGUUCUUAGAUUGGAUCCCAGGUUCCAACGCUGUGGCUGGCCUUGGAGAAGCAGAGGGGCAGGAACCCACUGCCAGGACCUGGACAGACCCAACCUUGUCCUCCCUGGAUCCCACAGGCCCCUCUUCCCUGCCUCUCCCUGAUGCUGGCAGCUCGGGGAUGCUGCUGAGAGAGGCUGGUCCCCAGCUCUGAGAGGCUUCAAGGCAUCACCAUGGAGACGCUCCAGGCCGCCAGCCACACAAAAGGAGCUGUGAGUUCCCCAGCUCACCUGGGACUCCGAGCUAACGAGGAGGUGGCAAAAGUGUUUCAUUUUCUCUCCUUGCUCUCUUACAAAAAGAAAGAGGCAAUUUACACAGACAAACAAACCCCACCCUGCCCUGAAAGGAAGCUGCUAAGCCUGUCCUUCCAUGGUGACUGGCCUCCUCCUGAGAGAAGAAGAGAGAAGCCUGGGCCUGGAGGUCUACAAUGGGACAUUCACAGGAAAGAAAGGGGGAUGGAGGGACCAACAGGAAACCUAGGGCCGGCCCCCUUCUCCUACCCAAAUAGAGAGGCCAGCUCAGAGCCAAGUGUAUAAGUGUAAGUUGGUAUCUUUGAAUUCAUUCGCUUUGGAGUUCUGAAAUGCCAACAACCUUUACAAUUGUCUUCAAGACAAUUUACAUUGGGGUAAAUAAUGCAAGUUGGGUACACCAGGAGGCUUUCAACGCCAUCCCCACUCAACAGGUGCAUCAUGGAUCAAGCCUCCCAAGCAGCUAGUCCCCACUUAGCAGCCCAGGGAAUUCUGACCGAGUAUAAAAGGGCCCGGGAAUCCUCUGAAUGGUGGAGGGGGAAACAGUAGAAGAGGGAUGGCGGUGCCAGGAUACCCUGAAACAGACAGGGCUGGGGAUGUGGAAAGGAAGGCGGUUGGUUGUUUCUGAGCAGGGAAGGGAGGAGAACGAGAGCAUCUCCAGCCAGCAAGCAAUCUUCACACAUGCAUUGUCGUUCUCUUCUGCAAAGGGGUGAGAAGAGGGGAGGGGGAGAGGUGGCACCAAGAGGGAGCAGGCGGGAGAGGUGAGAAAUCCAGCAUCUUCAGACCUGCCCACUCUGCUGGCUUCUCUGCUGUGUGCAAUAGCUCAUCUCACAGUCAUUAGAGAGCCCACAGGAAGGAUUGAAGCCGGACACCCCGAAGGGUGGGAAAAUGAAGAGAAGGGCUGCACACAGAUGUACGUGCGCUUGAACAUCUUGGGAGAGAUGGGGUCCAGCCUGGAGCUGUCCAGUCCCCAGACUGCCGGAAUCCUUGCAGCAGCAAGUGGACUCUGCCUCCAAAAGCCCCAGGAUCACCUGACAGGCAAAGUCUCCCUGUCCAGUCCGAACACUCUUCCUCUUUCCUUGCCUUCUCCUACAGCAAAAAAGGACACAACUUCUCCUCCGGUCUGGCCCAGCCCCCUCUACCUCCUGAGCAAAGAGCAGUAAACUGGGGCGGCAGGGGGCGGGGGGGGGGGGGCACUUGCUACUAAAGUGUCAGAUCCUGACAGUUCUCUACUCAGGUCUUACAAUGGCUCCCAUCUCACUCAUGAUAAAAGCCAAAGUUCUUACAUCAAGGCCCUAUAAAAUCUACAAACACACCCCUCCCGCCCAUUACCUUUCUGUAAUCCCUUGGUACGUUGCCUCUCACUUGCCCUGAUCAAGUUGCAGCAUCUCCUUUUUACUCCUCAUACAGAUCAGUGCUUUGGGGCCUCAGGGCCUUUGCACUUGCUAUUUCCUCUGGGCAGAAUGCUUUCCUCAGAUGUCUUCAUACCUCACUCCCUCAGGCCUGUAUUUCAACAUUAUGUUCUCAGUGAGCCUUCUUGGUUACCCUAUCUAAAACUGCAGCCUCUCCAACGCUCCCAGCCCCUCCUUCCUGCUUUACUUCGUCUUAGCUUUUACGACCACCUCUACUUGCCCAUUCAUGUAGUUUACUGUCUGUGUCCCUCACGUGAAUGCACAUACCAUGAAGGCUGGGGGGUUACCUGUUUUGUUCUCAGCACCUAGAAGCAUCUCGGAAGAUGGUAGGUCCUAAAUGACUACUCACUGAAUGAGAGAAUCGUCCCUAAGCCUGCCCCUGCCCCCUGCCACACUUCCCCCGCAGUGCCUACAGCAAUGCCCCUCGUCAGUACCUCUGAAGACACCAACCUUCUGGGAAAAUUACUUGUCUUUUGGAUAAAGACUGAGAAUGACAGGAGAGAAGUGACAGGGAGAGCAGAUGAGGGAGGACUCUUUCCUGCCAGGUCCAGAGAAGACAGAAUAUAGGCGCAGGGAGACAUUUCUUGGGUGGGCAUCCCACUGAACUCCAGAAGGCACCACCAUCUCAUGCAAGGGGCAAAUUCAUCUCUCUCAUUAGUCUCUUCCUCAGUAAGGACACAUGCACAGGUGUGCAUGUUUACACACACACGCUCGCUCACACACACACACCCCUCCGUUUCAAAGUCACGGAGGUUUGAGGAGUGGAGAGAGCUUCAACAUCAGCAGACAUGGGCUCCAGCCCCUGAGCCAUCACUCCUGAGCCCUGCAAUUUUCAGUGCCAACAAGCAUCUCAUUCAGCUGUGGAAGCCUGGUUUUCUGGGGCCAGAAGCGCCUCCUCACUCAACCUGUCCAUCAAGAGUCAGGGUCACGCACAGCUCUGGAUGACGGGCUGCCGAAGUAAGACAGCCAAGGCUGAAAGAGGGGGUGCCUGACAGAGCAGAGCCGCAGGGGGCAAACCCCUGCACCCCAGAACACCUGGUCACACCCUUGGCUCUGACACUUCCCAGCUGCGUAACCUUGGUUUUGUGACCUAGACUCUCAGAGACCUGCCCUUCUUGUCACGUUUACACCUCGGACAGUGAACCAGGUUGUAACGGUCACAAGUGAACCCUCCGAGGCCAGUGCCUGGCACACAGUAGGUUGCCCUCCAGAUACAGUUAUCAAAAGUUCCUCCAGCAAAGAAGCUACUUCUGCCUCCUGGUCCCUUGACGGGAAUACCCUUGACCGCUCUGUUGGUGACCGUGACAAACCCCAGACAAACCCCAGCACCUAAAGCUCAAGGCAGAGAAGCAAGGAUCUCACAGGCUAAGAAAUACACCUGCCUUCUGAUCCGGAGUUCCAUUUAAAGGAUUACACUAUAAAAGCCUUACUUAUCCUGCAAAAAGACAAAUGCAUAAGGAUGUUCAAUUCGGCAUUGUUUAUAGUAAUAAAAAAUGGAAACUCAUAAAUAUCCAUGAACGAGGCAAUCUAUGAAAUCACCGUGGUACAGACACACAGUGGGAUACUACAUAUCCAUUAAAAAGAAUGAAGUGGAAAAACAGACUGCCAUGAAAGCUCUCGAAGACACAGUCAGUAAAAAAGUAAGCCACAAAACGAUACACUCAGUGUAUUUAAAAAACAAUCUGUGUGUGUGUGGGGGGGGGAUACACAGUUUCAAAUAAAAUAAUGUAUGUAAAAAAACUGGCACCGUGUCU